rnacentral:ncRNA from 2 species
UGAGGCUCAGGUGAUGGCGCCCGCCCGGAGCGUGAGCUUCGAACCGCAGCCCUGCUGAUGGCCCCUGUUGAUGG